rnacentral:rRNA from 1 species
CAGCCGCGGUAAUACGUAGGCAGCAAGCGUUGUUCGGAGUUACUGGGCGUAAAGAGUGUGUAGGUGGUUUUCUAAGUUUGGUGUGAAAUCUCCCGGCUCAACUGGGAGGGUGCGCCGAAAACUGGAAGGCUGGAGUAUGGGAGAGGAAAGCGGAAUUCCUGGUGUAGCGGUGAAAUGCGUAGAUAUCAGGAGGAACACCUGCGGUGUAGACGGCUUUCUGGACCAUCACUGACACUGAGACACGAAAGCGUGGGGAGCAAACAGGAUUAGAUACCCUGGUAGUCCACGCCCUAAACGAUGCAUACUUGGUGUGAGCGAUUCAUUUCGUUCGUGCCGGAGCUAACGCGUUAA